UACGGAGGGGGCUAGCGUUGUUCGGAAUUACUGGGCGUAAAGCGCACGUAGGCGGCUUUGUAAGUUAGAGGUGAAAGCCUGGGGCUCAACUCCAGAAUUGCCUUUAAGACUGCAUCGCUUGAACGUCGGAGAGGUGAGUGGAAUUCCGAGUGUAGAGGUGAAAUUCGUAGAUAUUCUGAAGAACACCAGUGGCGAAGGCGGCUCACUGGACGACUGUUGACACUGAGGCACGAGAGCAUGGGUAGCGAACAGG
rnacentral:rRNA from 1 species